CGGGGUGUAGCUCAGCUGGCCCAGAGCGUCCCGUUUGGGACGGGAAGGCCGUCCGUUCAAAUCGGACCACCCCGA
rnacentral:tRNA from 1 species